GGGUGCUCGAGUGGCGAACGGGUGAGUAACACGUGGGUAACCUGCCCUUGACUUUGGGAUAACUUCAGGAAACUGGGGCUAAUACCGGAUAGGAGCUCCCGCUGCAUGGUGGGGGUUGGAAAGUUUCGGCGGUUGGGGAUGGACUCGCGGCUUAUCAGCUUGUUGGUGGGGUAGUGGCUUACCAAGGCUUUGACGGGUAGCCGGCCUGAGAGGGUGACCGGCCACAUUGGGACUGAGAUACGGCCCAG
rnacentral:rRNA from 1 species